CCAGACUCCUACGGGAGGCAGCAGUGGGGAAUAUUGCACAAUGGGCGCAAGCCUGAUGCAGCCAUGCCGCGUGUAUGAAGAAGGCCUUCGGGUUGUAAAGCACUUUCAGCGGGGAGGAAGGUGUUGUGGUUAAUAACCACGGCAAUUGACGUUACCCGCAGAAGAAGCACCGGCUAACUCCGUGCCAGCAGCCGCGGUAAUACGGAGGGUGCAAGCGUUAAUCGGAAUUACUGGGCGUAAAGCGCACGCAGGCGGGUUGUCAAGUCCGGUGGGAAAUCCCCGGGCUCAACCGGGGAACUGCCUUCGAAACUGGCAAGCUGGAGUCCUGGAGAGGGGGGGAGAAUUCCAGGGGUAGCGGUGAAAUGCGUAGAGAUCUGGAGGAAUACCGGUGGCGAAGGCGGCCCCCUGGACAAAAACUGACGCUCAGGUGCGAAAGCGUGGGGAGCAAACAGGAUUAGAUACCCUUGUAC
rnacentral:rRNA from 1 species